CCUGCACCUGCCGGCGACCGGCGCACGGGUGAGUAACACGUAUGGAACCUGCCCGCCACAGGGGGAUAACCCGGGGAAACCCGGCCUAAUACCCCAUGCCGCCCGGACCGGGCAUCCGGUCCGGGCGAAAGGAGGAAUCCGGUGGCGGCUGGGCAUGCGGCGCAUUAGCUUGACGGUGGGGUAACGGCCCACCGUGGCGACGAUGCGUAGGGGUUCUGAGAGGAAGGCCCCCCACACUGGAACUGAGACACGGUCCAGACUCCUACGGAAGGCAGCAG
rnacentral:rRNA from 1 species